ensembl:lncRNA
UUUCCCCAUACAUUUUUGUCAGCACAUUAUUGCACAUGCCUGUUUAAGCAGUAAAGCAGUUUGAGUGCAUCCUACAGCACUUUCCUAUUGAUUGGAGGUGGGAAUCCCAGAAGCUGCGAGCAGACAGCGCUGAGUAAAUCCUGACCCCGGGGGCCAGAAGGGCCCACAGAGGAGAGGAGAGGUCAUUCCCUGCAUGUUGCAUGGCUGCUCGGGGUCUCGUGCCUUAGAGCUUGCGUUUUGCCUUUGAGGCAAUGGAGGAUACUGUAGGAUUCAACCAGAAAAAGAAAAAAAAAAAAAAACUUUAAAUGCUUGCUAAUUAUUUUGUUAAUCAGGGUUUUCUGCUGCAUAUUAUUAACAAUGCAAAUUAAAGCAGGAGUCUGUGGUGCCCAGAAAACAUCUGCUCACCAGAGAUGAGGCACUAAACAAAAUGCCCCACGUGCUGUGCUCCCAUUGCUGUGCCUGCAGGAAUGCAUGCAGGGCAGGUCGGUGCUCCUGUGCUGCACUUUGCUGCGCUGUGCCCUGCACAGCCCCACUCACUGCUGUCAUUUUUAAUGCACUCUGCCUUUAUAGUUACAUAUCUUAACCUGGAAUUCCUUUUUUUUUUUUCUGUUUGUAGGCCAUUCUGGAAAGCAGCAUCUUCACCUGGAAAAGAGCACAUGCUGGCUGAGGAAGCCCUCCAUCUGCUGCUGGCUCCUGCUCCUGCUGCCUGAGCUGUUCUCUCAGCGUGUCAGUGAAGCGGUUGCUUGUUUCUGGGCAGAAGCUUUUUGAAACUUCAGUGCUGCAGAACAACUCAAGGUUUUGAGCUUUGGUUCCAACUCCGGGUAGCAGCAACUAUGACACAUCAGCACUCCCUUCAGGAGAUGUAGGACUCCAUUUCCAUCCAGAUGCAGGUAGGAUGCAGUCUUGUAAGCCCACUUUGUGAUUGCUUCUCAUUUCACCUCUGUAGGUCGUUUAGUCUGUGAAAACGUUUGCAGGCAUCCUGCUUGAUUUCCAUAGGGUGAAGAACUCCAUCCAAGACCAAGCAGCAGGGGCAGGUACCAUGUACCUGAGAGAGCUGAUGCUCUGUAGAGAUAGGGCUGUCUCCUUUCCACACUAUUAUCUUGAAAAGGAGACAUCUGUAUGGAUGGGGACUGGACCCAGCGGGCAGGAUCUGGGCCCCAUCUGCCUGGGGAGAUCCAGGGCAAUUUCCUGAGUCUCACUGCUAUUUUCUCACAGCAGCUUCCAUACUGUCAGUGUGGAGAAGUCCCUCUUGUCCUGCGUGUCUUAAAAUGGUGGAAAUAAAGAGCGCUGCUGUUCUGGCAGGUGGGAUUUGGAAAGCCCCGAUAGAAGGAGGCAGAAAGGGGACUGCUGUCCCUGGGGCUGCUCGCUGUGCUGCGGGUCCCGCAGGGCAGGACGUGAUGCCUUUGAGAGCCCAGGUGCUCCGUAGGCUUUCACGUCUUCCUGCUGAACCAACGAGGCUCAGAAUUAUUUUGAUUUAGAUAAUCCCAAACUUGAAAACAGCUCGACUUACACAGUCAAUAAAACAGAACUGUCUCUUCAGCAGCGCACUGACAAGGCUUUGAAGAAAGACGCACAGAGAAGCUCUCCACUAAUAUUAAACUGAUUUGGCCAUUUUUAUUCUAUAAAGGAGGCUGGUUAUGAGAUUUAAAAAGACUCAUAUAUCAUGCUGCCUCAUUAAUUUUCCAUUUGGGCUCAGCUGUCAGAGGAUACCAUAUUAAACUGCUGCCUGGAGUAGUCUUAGGUGGCAGAGAAAUGAUGUUUGAUACCCUUUGCAUUUCACACAGUCUGUAUAAAAGUUCUCCUUGAUUUGCCAUCCCUAUUAUUUUCUGUCAGAGAACCCUACACGGCCUCUCCAAAAUAAUAUCACCUCUCCAAACCCUUGAAGGUCUAUUUGUGGUUUCCAUGGUGACAAAAUGACCCAUAAUAUUCUUUGACUACUUCAGUAAAUGAAGAACACAACCGGGCUUUUGAAGAAUAAUAGAUUUUUUUUUUUCCUUAAGAAAAGACAUACUUGUGAGCUCAAAAAGGGGAAAAAAUGGGAUGAAAAAGAUAUUAAGGGAAGAGAUUUGGCUUGUAACUCAAAGGGCUUUGUGUCAGCGAGUGCGGCAGACAGCACUUGUUGAAAAAUAGACCUUGAGCCAUCUGGUACCAAAACAGAAGCGGGAUACAGCCCUUGUGAUGACUGAGAUGAAGGAGCUUUUGCUGUAACUCAUUUUUACAAUAGCUGUGCUACUUAAUUCUGAAUUCGGGGACACUCGAGGCCGGGCGCUGCAGGUGCAAGCGUGUGGUUAAAACAUUUUCUUCCAGGAACCGUGCAAAGCCCGCUCUGUGCUGCGGAGGAGGGAGGAUGGGAUUUUCCAGCAGAGCCGGCCUGGGGGAGAAGUGGGUGGGAAGGAAACAGCGAGGCUUUUCUCAGGGUAUUUGCUGGGCUUUGUGGAAGAGCUGGUUUUCUACUUGUAGCUCUGCUAAUGAUCUGCUGCGCUGCACAGGGGGCACUGAGCAGGGCGCUGCACGCAGCCCUGCUGCUCCGCUCCCUGCCACGGGGCUGGAUGAGAUGCAGCCCCUCCAGGGUAGGAACCAUCCCUUACCGUGUGCUGAACAACAAGCCCCGAGCCUCCUGGCUGCUUUACUUCAGGCCAGUAGGGGAUUUUGCAGACCGCUUAGCCCUGGGAGAGCAGCUGCCCCAGGAGCAUUGCAGCAAGCUCUGCAAACAGGCUUUAAACAAGACCUCAUCUUACAGGGGAGGAAACGGAGACAGAAAGCAAAUAGCAGAGCUCACCAAAGCACUGCAGUCUUUGUUGGGUAGGAAGGGUAGAGAAUUCUGGGCUGCUGGUUUGUCCCAGAGGUGCUUUGGGAUAAUGAUAUUUCUUUAGAUGAGCUGUAAUUCAGUAUUUAGCACAUGUUUCCAGCUGGUCCAGCAUUGCUGUCUGUGGUUAUAAGCCCCACUGUGUAUCGGGGAGACAACCAGGCAGCGGUUUGGUCAGAAACCUGCAGAAAGAAUGGCCCAAACAGCUCAAAGUAACAAAUGUGGGACUUCUGGAGUGCAGCAGCAGGAGGUGGUUCAGGUUAGCGUGGGGAGGGGAAACCCAUGCUGCUCAAUUAUCCAAGCACUGAGGAGCAGCAGAAGGAGGGCUGCUCCCAAAGCCUGUUAGUAAUUCCUGCUGCUGGACUCUGGAUAUUUCUUAUGCCAUUUCUGGCCUUCUGGGUGUAUUCUAGCACUUUGCCUCCCAGUCCUGAUGAAAAAGGAAAGCAAAAAGGUGACUAAAAUAUGAAAUUUACUUCCAGAAUGUCCUGGUGGUUCGCAGAUGUCUCAGAAAUGCCUUUGGUGGCCGUUAGCAGGGUGUGCUCGUGCUGCCAGAGGGACCAAAGUGUGUCCCGGUCACUCGCUCACCAUUCAGCCUGUGCUUUGGUGGUGUUCUGGCUUGGAUAGCUGUUGGCCUGAAAAUACACUGACAAGGACUUUAUCUAAUAGAUGCUUGUGUGGCUGGUUGCUGGCUUGAUACGAGAUGCCAAACAAAGCGACUUAAUAUGAACAGAGAAAGAAAUGACAGCAGGAAUAAACAAAUAGACAGUUUAAGGACACAUUCACCAUCAGCCUUGCCCAUGUGAGGUGCAGUCUUGCUUGGCUCCUGUUGCUGCGCAUGCUGUUGGCAGGGAUGAUCGAAGCCUCUGCUGCUUCUCCUGCAGUGGGGAUGCAGCCCUUCAGAGCCCGACUUCAGUUUCCUCUUACAAUCAUGGUUGGCUUCCUCUGGGAGCAGCCUCUGCCUGCCCACAGCCCGCCUUCAUCCUGUUAGGGCCUGCGGAGAGUUACUCAGUUAAACAUCAUAAAUCCCACUAUAAAUGAUUACACAGGGCUUUUCACUAACAAUCUUCUGUGGGGAUAUCAAGCUUGAUGGAAGCAUAAAUCAUUUAAAGAACAUCUGCUUAAUGAGGGGUAACCUGGAACUGCUUCCCUGAGCCUGGGUGUACCAAGGGGGAAAAAGCUCAGGCAGCUGAACGACCUCAGCCGGCGCCUGC